rnacentral:rRNA from 1 species
UACGAAGGGGGCUAGCGUUGCUCGGAAUCACUGGGCGUAAAGGGUGCGUAGGCGGGUCUUUAAGUCAGGGGUGAAAUCCUGGAGCUCAACUCCAGAACUGCCUUUGAUACUGAGAGCUUGAGUCGGAAGAGGUGAGUGGAACUCGAGUGUAGAGGUGAAAUUCGUAGAUAUUCGGAAGAACACCAGUGGCGAAGGCGGCUCACUGGUCCGGUACUGACGCUGAUGUGCGAAAGCGUGGGGAGCAAACAGG